UCUUUCCUUUUUAUUACAAUUAUAUUCCUUGCACUAGUCAGGUGAGUUAACAAACCUAUGCACAGAGUUGUUUCAUCAGUCUGUGUGCGUACACGAUAACUAAAUUCUCCAUUUACGUUAAUAUACAAGUGGGAUGUUUAUUGUUGGCUUUUUUGCCAUUGUCGAUAAAGAUGAUCAGCCGUUUUUUGAAAGGUCAAGGUAUGGAAGAUGAAAAACUUACACUGAUACCAAUGAACCAAUAGCCCAGCUGCGUCAUUGUUCUUCAUCUCAAUGUGGAUGUAGAUUGGAAUAACAUCUAACAGAUUCUUAAAGGUGAAAAACAUUGUUACUGACAAUUUGUUAGAUGCUUGAAGGUGAAAAAUAUUUGUUGUACCACUUUUGUUGUUGAGCACUAGAAUGGUCCUAACGAGUAGCCCUAGUGUUUAUAUCUCAUCCAAAGACAUUGUAGUAAAUCCAAAUUGAAACCAAAAUGAAGGUAUUGGCGCCCGCUGAAUAAUGAAGUUGAAAUAAUAAUAAAAAAAAAUGGUUGGAAGGUAUAGAGUGUAUGACAAGUAUAAAUUUUCGAGUUAUCAACUUGUCAGAGUCAGACACGCUAGAUCUGCCAACGAAAAUUUUACUUUUCCGUAGAUUUCGUUAGUCCCUCUAUUCUUCAUCUUCCUCUAACACCUAUAUUUGGACUACCUAUUUGGAUUUUCAAUGAUCGUCAAAUUAAACAAAUCUGCAUAAGAAGUGUACCGAUAUGAGGGACGACAAUGGAUGUGAGCUCUGAGUCUACAAGGAAUCAGUUCUUAGAUGGAUUAGGGUGCAACGAUCAGUUGCGUGAUCUUAUGGGUGAUUUGUGGUAUUUAUUCUGUUUCACUGAAAGUAACAAAGUAACAACGCCCACUACAGCAGUGUAAUGUUGAAGACGAAGACGGUUCUGGGAGUAAAAUGAUGAUCUGGUUUUUAACACAUUUUUAUUGAUUCCUUAAAUUAAAUUUGUUUUUUUUUUGUUCUCUCAAUUUAAAUAUGGUAAAUUCAUAUCUUAUUGUACUCCAAGUUAUAUGUUUUUCAUUUUGUCAAUAUUUUAGUUACAUUUUAUAUUCUGACUAAAAAUGCCUUCCAUAAUAUAGAUAAUAAUAAACCUAACUAAUAUAAAAAUUUGAGAAAAUUUGUCGGGUGCAAUAAAAUCAUUUCAAAAUUAUUAUUUUUUUCUUCUCUUCAAUUUCAUUUUUACUUUU